CAAGCGGAGGAACAUGUGGUUUAUUUCGAUGAUACGCGAGGAGCCUUACCUGGGCUUAAAUGUAGAGUGCAUGAGGUAGAAAUACUUCUUUCCUUCGGGACUCUUUGCAAGGUGCUGCAUGGUUGUCGUCAGCUCGUGCCGUGAGGUGUCGGGUUAAGUCCCAUAACGAGCGCAACCCUUAUCGUUAGUUGCCAGCGGGUAAUGCCGGGAACUCUAGCGAAACUGCCGGUGUAAACCGAGAGGAAGGUGGGGAUGACGUCAAAUCAGCACGGCCCUUAUGUCCAGGGCUACACACGUGUUACAAUGGCCGGUACAGAGGGCAGCUACCUGGAGACAGGAUGCGAAUCUCGAAAGCCGGUCUCAGUUCGGAUCGGAGUCUGCAACUCGACUCCGUGAAGCUGGAUUCGCUAGUAAUCGCGCAUCAGCCAUGGCGCGGUGAAUACGUUCCCGGGCCUUGUACACACCGCCCGUCAAGCCAUGGAAGUUGGGGGUACCUGAAGUCCGUAACCGCAAGGAGCGGCCUAGGGUAAAACCAGUGACUGGGGCUAAGUCGUAACAAGGUAACCUUAAUUAAAAA
rnacentral:rRNA from 1 species